UGUGUAGACAAUGGGUGGAUCCGCGUUAACGCCCUAAAAAAGACACGUGGCAUCAGCAAAAGGGUUUUGUCGUUUUCCCCUUUUUCUUUUUAGAGGGCACAAGCAAUGACCGGGACGUGAAAAGACGGUGUGAUAACCGAUCUGUGUGGACAUGUAAAGGAGAACUAUACGCAGACACGCGGGGUCUGAGUAAUCGAAUUUCGAUCGACAAGUUCGGUGCAUCGUGUUGAAGGGUCGGUGUAACAAAUGCCGAUGCAAACAACUCGUUCAAAGUUGGAAUAUCUUCGUCGUGUGCACUCUGCAACUUCAUGCCCGGAGCAUUGAAUAACACAUCUGGAUUGUGUAUUUGCGCCAUUGGAGAGGAUCGGAACCCCUGCAUGUAUAUUCUAAAGCCAUCGGUGUUGCGAAUUGUUUGUGGUGUCGUGAAAAUCAUCGAUUCAAAAAAAAACUCGGAACAACGCCCAAGAAAACAAAACAAAGCACGAAAAUCAAGAAGCCCAAAGACAGAAACAAAAGAUACAGUCGCCAAGCCAAAAGAAAACAGCAAUAAAGAAAAGGUAGAUUUCCAAUGGAACGACCCAAUCACCGCUCCCGGCAGGGCGUCUGUUUUUUAAUCCACAUGCAUUUUCUCUCAUAUCAAAGUCUAUUAUUUCCUUUUUUUUUUACCCUUUGUCUUUUUGUCCUUAUCUUCCCUGUUUUUGUUUUUUUCAUCACUUUCUUUUCUCUUCUCAUUUCUUGCUACUCGUAAUUUUUUUUUUAGUGACCUAAAGGCGGAAAAUUUCCGCAAACGUCAAGGAAAGAGAUGUAGCCCUGCCCCUGUGAAUCGUUAAAAUGAAACAGACGAGAGUCUAUACGUACGAGUCUGAACAAGAUAGAAAAAUAUAAAAUUAAUUGGGAAUAA